GGGCCCGCACAAGCAGCGGAGCGUGUGGUUUAAUUCGAGGCUACACGAAGAACCUUACCUGGACUUGACAUGGCGCUAGUAGGGAAGCGAAAGCGGACCGACCCGCAAGGGAGGCGUCACAGGUGCUGCAUGGCUGUCGUCAGCUCGUGCCGUGAGGUGUUAGGUUAAGUCCUGUAACGAGCGCAACCCCCGGAGCCAGUUACACGAUGUCUGGCUCGACUGCCCGUGACAAGCGGGAGGAAGGUGGGGAUGACGUCAAGUCAGCAUGGCCUUUAUGUCCAGGGCUACACACACGCUACAAUGGCCGGUACAAUGGGUCGCCAAGCCGCAAGGCGGAGCCAAUCCAAGCAAAGCCGGUCACAGUUCGGAUUGUGGGCUGCAACCCGCCCACAUGAAGUUGGAGUUGCUAGUAACCGCGCGUCAGCCAUAGUGCGGUGAAUACGUUCCCGGGCCUU
rnacentral:rRNA from 1 species